rnacentral:rRNA from 1 species
GAUGAACGCUGGCGGCGUGCCUAAUACAUGCAAGUCGAGCGAACAGAUGAGGAGCUUGCUCCUCUGACGUUAGCGGCGGACGGGUGAGUAACACGUGGAUAACCUACCUAUAAGACUGGGAUAACUUCGGGAAACCGGAGCUAAUACCGGAUAAUAUAUUGAACCGCAUGGUUCAAUAGUGAAAGACGGUUUUGCUGUCACUUAUAGAUGGAUCCGCGCCGCAUUAGCUAGUUGGUAAGGUAACGGCUUACCAAGGCAACGAUGCGUAGCCGACCUGAGAGGGUGAUCGGCCACACUGGAACUGAGACACGGUCCAGACUCCUACGGGAGGCAGCAGUAGGGAAUCUUCCGCAAAGGGCGAAAGCCUGACGGAGCAACGCCGCGUGAGUGAUGAAGGUCUUCGGAUCGUAAAACUCUGUUAUUAGGGAAGAACAAAUGUGUAAGUAACUAUGCACGUCUUGACGGUACCUAAUCAGAAAGUCACGGCUAACUACGUG